AACGUAGGGGGCAAGCGUUGUCCGGAUUUAUUGGGCGUAAAGAGCGUGUAGGCGGCCAGGUAGGUCAGCUGUGAAAACUCGAGGCUUAACCUCGAGACGCCGGCUGAAACCCUCUGGCUAGAGUCCGGAAGAGGAGAGCGGAAUUCCUGGUGUAGCGGUGAAAUGCGCAGAUAUCAGGAAGAACACCCGUGGCGAAGGCGGCUCUCUGGGACGGUACUGACGCUGAGACGCGAAAGCGUGGGGAGCGAACAGG
rnacentral:rRNA from 1 species